rnacentral:rRNA from 1 species
GACGAACCGUGCGAACGUUGUUCGGAAUCACUGGGCUUAAAGGGCGCGUAGGCGGGCCAUCAAGUCAGGGGUGAAAUCCUCCAGCUCAACUGGAGAACAGCUUUUGAUACUGGUGGCCUCGAGGGGGGUAGGGGCAUGUGGAACUUCCGGUGGAGCGGUGAAAUGCGUAGAUAUCGGAAGGAACGCCGGUGGCGAAAGCGACGUGCUGGACCCUUUCUGACGCUGAGGCGCGAAAGCCAGGGGAGCAAACGGG